AAAUGUGAAAUUCAAUAGACCCUUUUCACAGUGACGUCAGACAAUGGCCGCCAUAACUCAAACCUGGGUAUCUUUACUUCCGGUGUGAUUUUGCCUUGGGAAC